AGUGAACGCUGGCGGUAGGCCUAACACAUGCAAGUCGAACGGCAGCACAGUAAGAGCUUGCUCUUACGGGUGGCGAGUGGCGGACGGGUGAGGAAUACAUCGGAAUCUACUUUUUCGUGGGGGAUAACGUAGGGAAACUUACGCUAAUACCGCAUACGACCUACGGUUGAAAGCAGGGGAUCUUCGGACCUUGCGCGAUUGAAUGAGCCGAUGUCGGAUUAGCUAGUUGGCGGGGUAAAGGCCCACCAAGGCGACGAUCCGUAGCUGGUCUGAGAGGAUGAUCAGCCACACUGGAACUGAGACACGGUCAAGACCACUACGGGAGGCAGCAGUGGGGAAUAUUGGACAAUGGGCGCAAGCCUGAUCCAGCCAUACCGCGUGGGUGAAGAAGGCCUUCGGGUUGUAAAGCCCUUUUGUUGGGAAAGAAAAGCAGCAGGUUAAUACCCCGCUGUUCUGACGGUACCCAAAGAAUAAGCACCGGCUAACUUCGUG
rnacentral:rRNA from 1 species